CGCAGCCGCGGUAAUUCCAGCUCCAAUAGCGUAUAUUAAAGUUGUUGCAGUUAAAAAGCUCGUAGUUGAAUUUCGGGGUUAGUAGGUUGGUCAUGCCUCUGGUAUGUACUGGUCUCACUGAUUCCUCCUUCCUGAUGAGCCGUAAUGCCAUUAAUUUGGUGUUGCGGGGAAUUUGGACUGUUACUUUGAAAAAUUAGAGUGUUUAAAGCAAGCUAACGCUUGAAUACAUUAGCAUGGAAUAAUGAAAUAGGACGUUCGAUCCUAUUUUGUUGGUUUCUAGGAUUGACGUAAUGAUUAAUAGGGAUAGUUGGGGGCAUUAGUAUUCAAUUGUCAGAGGUGAAAUUCUUGGAUUUAUUGAAGACUAACUACUGCGAAAGCAUUUGCCAAGGAUGUUUUCAUUAAUCAAGAACGAAAGUUAGGGGAUCGAAGACGAUCAGAUACCGUCGUAGUCUUAACCAUAAACUAUGCCGACUAGGGAUCGGAUGAUGUUAAUUUUUAAUGACUCAUUCGGCGCCUUAAC
rnacentral:misc_RNA from 1 species